AGUGACUUGCCCAAAGUCACACAGCUGCCAAGUGGCAUUGGGGAUUCAAACCCAUGACCUCUGGCUCCCAAGCCCGGGCUUUUUCCACUGGGCCACGUGAGAUAAAAACGAUUUUUUCAGCAGAGAUUCAGAGUCUGGAGGUGUGGGGGGAGAGAGGAGGUGUCUAGAUUUCCCCCACUUGCCCUCCGGAUCCAUCAGUUAGCACCCAUCAUCCAACUCAUGUGAGCUCACUGUGGGCAGGAAUUUUUCCUGUUUCUUGUUCCACUGUACUCUCCCAAGUGCUUAGUGCAGGGCUUUGCGCACAAUAAGAGCUCAAUAAAAACGACUGAAUGAAUGAAUAGGGUUAGGGAAGCUGCUUGUCAUUAUCAUGCUUGCUGUAGUCAGGGUCAUUUAGGUUUGGCCACUUCUCUUCUCUGGUCAAAUCCCACCCAUGUGGCCCUACCUAUGAUCUUGAAGGUACUUGCCGGUCCCUUAACUCAUUGUCCAUUGGCAAGACCGAGAGCAGGAAAUUGAAAUAAUGAUAAUUAUGGAAUUUAAGCAUAUACUCUGUGCCAAGCAGUGUUCUCAACACCGAGGUAAAUACCUGGUAUUCAGAUUGGAUACAGUCCCUGUCUCACAUAGGGCUCACGGUCUCAAUCCCCAUUUUACAGAUGAGCUAACUGGCAUACAGAAGUGAAGUGACCUGCCCAAGGACACACAGCAGACAAGUGGCUGACCCGGGAUUAGCACCCACAACCUCUGACUCCAAAGCCCAUAUUCUUGCCACUAGGUCAUGAAACUAUGUGUCUCCAACAUCCCCAAGCGCAUCAAGAAGUAAAUAGUUAUGGGGAAGUGUUAAGUGAGAAACCUCAAGUGGAUGAAGGAGAUUUCAUAUUCAUACAGCUGAAGGUUUUCAAGAACAAUAGAGGUUUGCUUUCAUCCUUCAUACUGGAACAGCUGCAGCACCUGAAAGGAAUUGCUGGAUCCACUGGCCUCCAGCUCUGCUAAAUGUUCAUCAGGGAGGGCCUGACUAAUCAGAAGUCAUGCCGGAAGAUGCGCUCAGAAAACACAGCCCUUCUGCUUCAGAUCCAGCUUAUAAAUUUGAAUCCUACUCUGCUGAAUCAUGACAAAAAAUACAACCUUGCUUUGGGCAGGGAAUGUAUCUGUUAUAUUGUACUUUCCCAAGCACUUAGUACAAUGCUCUGUACACAGUAAGCACUCAGUAAAUACGAUUGACUGACUAGUAUUGAAUUGUUAGCAAGGUCCCUGACAUUCCCUGGGAACCAGUCACUUGAACAGCAAUGUCCACAGGCGGUACUGCCCUCAGAAAAGAGGUUUUCAUGAUUCCUCAAGACGACAAAAUUACCAAACAUUGUCGGGCCUGAUGACUGAAUAACCUGGUCUCCAAUUUGUUCCUGCCCCAGAUCCUCCAGGACCUUAUUCUCUUAGCACCACAUUCAAGGCCGGCGUCCUUAUCCCCCAGAUUAAAUGAGAGCUUUUGGCUGGCGGGGAUUGAGUUACCUCAUCAAACUGCCUGGCAAAGUUGAGCGUGAGCCAGACAAAAGCUGGAAUCUGAAUGGAGAAGACAGCAUGUUGAAUAAAAUGAAGUAGAUAGUAGAGCACUGAGCAUUGUAGUUGAGAAUAAGAACAUAUCUAUAUUUUGUGCUUAGUAAACUGCAGUCUGGCUAGCUGCAAUUGAGUGAUUACUUAAAUGCAUGCAUUCUUUGUGCACCUGGUGGAGGUGUGGGCAGAAGGCAGAGCAGUUCUAACCCAGAAGUGCAUAUAGACAGCAUUUUUUAUGGCAUUUCUUAAGCACUUUCUAUGUAUCAAACACUAUUCUAAACGCUGGGGUGGAUACAAAUUAAUUACAUUGGACAUAGUCCCUGUCCUGCAAUGGGCUCGUAAUCUAAGUAGGAGUAAUGUAUAUCUAAUUUUCUUUUGAGUUGAAGAUGUUCACGGUUUGGGUGUGCAGGUGGCUGGUGAUGAAUCCAUCAGUGAUAUUUGAGAACUUACUGGGUGUAGACCACUGUACUGAGCACUUGGAGGAGUGCAGUACUGUUGUGGGAUACCUGCCCACAAGGAGCUUACAGAUUUGUGUGGAAGACAAAUGUUAAAAUAAAUUAAAGGUAAAAUAAUAAUAAUAAUAAUUUUGAUAUUUGUUAAACACUAUGUGACAAGCAUUUUACUAAGCGUUGGGGUGGAUAUGAGCAAAUGCGGUCGGACCCAGCCCCUGUCCCAUGUGGGGAUCACAGUCUUAAUCCCCAUUUUACAGAAGAGGUUACUGAAGCACAGAUGAGGUAACUGACCUAAUUAACUUGUACCUACCCCAGCACUUAGAACAGUGUUUGACACAUAGUAAGUGCUUAAUGAAUACCAUAAAAAAGAGCUUCUAGGGAUUUCUUUACAAGUAUCAUUCUGACCUGGAAAUGAGGUCAGGCUUGUGGUUUAAAAUGGCAGACCCACUACGUUACCUUCUGGGACUUGUAGUCAAGGCACUAAAGUGAUCUGUCUGCUCAGAAAUCCCACCUAACAGACAAAGCAGUGAUUUAAAGGAACUGCUAGUGGCUUUUCAUGCUGAGGUACAGAGCGCUGGGCCCUGGGUAUCAUUUAAUCUGUGGAAGUCAGGUCUGGCCUAAAUUUGCGUGUAGCUGUUCAUAUUAAACUUCUCUAUUGAAGCACACUUGGAUCUAUACCUUUUGGGCAUUUGGUAUUCAUCCCACCUUCAGCCCCACAGCACUUAUGUACAUCCAUAAUCUAUGUAUUUACAUUAAUGACUGUCUCCCCCUACAGACUCGAAGGUCACCAUUGGCAGGGAAUGUGUUUACCAACUCUUUUGUGUUACACUCUCCCAAGUGUUUAGUACAGGGCUCUGCACACAGUAAGUACUCAAAAAAUACCAUUGACUGAUGUCUUGUACACUCCAGCAUAGUUUUCUGCACUCAGUAAGUGCUCAGAAAAUACCACUGAUUGAAUAAUUGCCUACUUUAAGUGCUCCAAGACCCCAGACUCAUGACUGUGAGAAGAGGAGACAGAUCCUGCCAGUUUGAGGUCUAGAAAAGCCCAGUUCUCUCCAAGAUGCACAGGUGACUUUAAGAGUAUAUGGGCAGGGUGGGGUCUGGGUGGUCCAGGAGGCCUGUGGGGUCAUUCAAAGUGGGGGGCCCAGUCUAGCCUGUCACCCCUUUCAGGAAGGGGUUAAACCCAAAAAGAUUUUUUAAAAACCCUAAAGAGUUUUCAGUCCUGUAUUUCAUCUUAAUGUCUUUAAGCUCCUUGUGGGCAGGGAUCAUGUCUAUGAACUCUGUUGUAUUGUACAUUCCCAGGUGCUUAGUACAGUGCUCUGCACAUAGUAAGUGCUCAAUAAAUACAUAGAGUUUCUACUGCUAUGUUUACUACCUUUUCUAAAUGUUUGGAAGAAGAGAAAGAUCUUAAAAGCCUCAUUUAACUUUCAAAUGGCAUCUUGUGUUGGAAAAGCAGGGAAAUUAUAAGAAAAGACAAGUGUGCAGAAAAGCCAGUUGCAUUUAGCCUUUUUCCACAAUAAAAGCCAUUCCACUCAAACACUGAGAGAUGACAGACUCAUUCUUCCUCUGACUCUGGCUAUCAGAACUGCCUGUUCAAACAUUUGCAAUAGUCAUGCUGAUAUGGCCAACACUUUUCAGAAGCAAGCAUUCAAAUGGGACCAGUUUACUCAACAGAGCAAGGCUGGCACUAAUGAAACACUUCUGCCACCUAU
rnacentral:lncRNA from 1 species